rnacentral:rRNA from 1 species
UAAAUCAUUUUUAAUAAAAAUAAUUAUUUAAUUAAAAUAUAUCUAUAUUAAAAUAAAAACUGAAAAGGUUAAAAUAAAUUAAUUUAAAGAAAUUCACUGUUUCUUUUGUAUCAGCAAAUAUUAAAUUUAAAAUAUAAAUAUAAAUAUCCCGAAAAAUUAAGAUCUAUAAAUUAUAUAAUUUUAUGUUUCAAAAUAAAAAUAAAAUAAAUUAUAGUAAUUAUACGUUAAUCGAUUAAAAAUAUCUGGUUUCUUAAAAAUAAAUAAAUUUUUAUUAACUUUUUAUAUAAUAAUAUAUAAAAUUAGUUUUAAUACUAACUAUAAAAUUAUAGAAUUAAAAGUUUUCAAAAAGUUUAAUAACUUUAAAAUAAUUUAACUAAACAAUAAUAUUAAGAUCCCCUUCUUAAUUUAUGAAAAAUGAUAUUAUAUGUAGAUUAUUUAAUUUAAUAACAUGAACUCGCCUAACAUUAAAUGACUGUUUAUCAAAAACAUUUUUAUUAGAUAUUAUUAAUAAUAAGAUCUGCUCAAUGAUUUUUAAAUAGCCGCUUUCGUGCUAAGGUAGCAUAAUCAUUUGUCUUUUAAAUGAAGACUAGAACAAACGAUUUAACAUUUUAAUAAAUAUAUUAAAUUAAAAAAUCUAAAUUAUCUUAAAAGUUAAAAGACUUUUAUAUAAAAGAAAGACGACAAGACCCUAUUGAACUUUACUAAUGUUUAGCUGGGGCAGCUAAUAAAUUAUUAUUUUAAUUUUUUCAUAAAUUAAAAAUGAUCUAAUAAAAUUAAUAAAAUAAUCAAGUUACCAUAGGGAUAACAGCGUAAUAUUUUUCUAAAGACCUUAUAUAAAAAUAAGAUUACGACCUCGAUGUUGAAUUAAUAACCUAAUUUAAAGCAAAAAUUAAAAAAGGAUGUCUGUUCGACUUUUAAAUAAUUACAUGAUUUGAGUUCAGACCGGCGUAAGCCAGGUCGGUUUCUAUCUUCUUAAAAUUUUUUUAUAGUACGAAAGGACCAAAAAAAAUAAUAUAAUU